rnacentral:rRNA from 1 species
UACGAAGGGGGCUAGCGUUGUUCGGAAUUACUGGGCGUAAAGCGUACGUAGGCGGAUUGUUAAGUGAGGGGUGAAAUCCCGAGGCUCAACCUCGGAACUGCCUUUCAUACUGGCAAUCUUGAGUCCGGGAGAGGUGAGUGGAACUCCUAGUGUAGAGGUGAAAUUCGUAGAUAUUAGGAAGAACCCCAGUGGCGAAGGCGGCUCACUGGCCCGGAACUGACGCUGAGGUGCGAAAGCGUGGGGAGCAAACAGG